rnacentral:lncRNA from 13 species
CUCCCACCCGUGGCCUCCACCUGUGAUCACUGGCCCUUGGUCCAUGGCAGCGACAGUGUGGCUGAGCCCUUGCUACCGUGAGGGCCACACUGCCUUGUGAGUUAGGUGGCCCCCGCGUCACGCUCACAUUUGCUGAAGAGCCUCUGGUCCUCACCUUGGGUGGGUGUCUCUCCUCCCCCAGAGGCACCACCAUCACCAGCUCUGCAGGAAGUGGUUCUUUUCUGCCUGUUUCUCCCCCUCAGUCACACACAGAGGCUGGCUGGAGGUGGCAGGCCCUCAAUUUGGAGGCUUAGAGGCUGCCGUCAAUGGCAGGUGCUUGGUCUGGCUGGAGAGAGGGCCCUGGUGGGCCUGGAAAGUCUUUGGAGCAGUGAAUUUGUUUUUCUAAAAUGCAUGCACCUUUGCUAUUUACUAAAAAUACUGAUACAUGCUAGUCAUAAAUGAUUCAUAGAAUACAGGAAAGAAUGAAGAAGAGAGUGAGCUCCCUCUAGCCUCACUAACAACAGCCACCAUUACUGCGUCUGAAAUGCUUCUUCUUAGACACUUUUCUUUGCAAACACCUACGUUUUAAACACACACAUGCACGAAUGGGCCCGUCUAACCCAGGUUUUUAUGCUCAAUGUCAUCGCUGGCUUUCCGAGUUAGGAAACGUGGGUGCACAUUCACUGUUUUCAAGGGAGUCAUGGUGCAUAAGUAUCAUUCUUCUUUCUGGGGACACUGAGAAGGUUUCUGUCGUCCUCCUCUCACCAGCACUGCUCUGCCAAGCACCCUGUACAGUUAACCAGCGCUCUGUGUGCACGCUUUCCAUGAUGCCUUUGCAGUAAAUCUCUAGGCGUAGGACUCCGGGGUCAUGGGGAUAUGCCUUUAAAGGCUCAGAGUAUUGCUUCCUGUGUUUUCAGCAGGAUCUGCUUUCGGUUGGGUGAGGGGAACCCAAUAGAAUCCCCUGCUGUCCUCCCAGGCCCCCUUGAGCCCCCUAAUCCCUUCUGUACCCCUUCCCCAGUCCCAGUCUUCUGUGGCUGGCAGACUCCUCCCCUGUUGCAAGAUCCUCACUGGUUGUUUCUGUCCUCUGUCCAGCCCUGUUGUUGUCAUGAUGAUGUGCUUGCAGCGCUGGUCUGGAGAAAGCAGGCGGCAGGGAGAGGCUCCAAGCCUCAAAUGUCGUGUGUCUGCUCCUGGGGUACCUGCUGGCCCUGAAUCAAGCCUCUGCAUCCCUGGGACUCCAGGAACUUUGGGAUCCAGAGAAGCAAGCUCUUUUAUCCCAGGACCCAUGACUGCCCAAGCUGUGAGCUUCCUGAGGGCAGGGACCCUGUUCUCUCUCCCAGAGCUAGGGCUCCAUGUUGGAACUGGCCCUGACAGCGUCUGUUAAACCUCCAUGAAACGACGUUCCUGAACUUGAAGCCAUAGGACAGGACUCUGAAGAUCACCAAAUCACAUCGUGAGAAAACAAAGCCCUUUUCAGCUCUGCACCGGUCCUUCUCGUGACAGCAAGGAGAACGUGUCGGGCUGGCUGGAGGAUGUCUUUAACACUCACCCCUCUCACCCUCGCCCACCUCCACAUAGAACCAAGAACACGCAGGUCCUAGACUCAGACUCUAGUGGAUGAAUGUGUGUAGCAAAAGUGACCGCAUUGCUUUAUUUUAGAAUUAUCUCCAAUUUAUACCAGGUGAUACUGGUUUUCCACUUGUAAUAGCAAUGUUAUUUUUCUGAAGUUUGUUUUUAAUUUUAAUUCACUUUCAGACAUACAGUAAAAUUGCAAGCAUAAUAGAGUUCCUGUACCUUUCACCCAGGUUCACUUAGUGUUAAUAUCCUUCCCUCUCUCUCUGCCUCUUCCCCUACCUUCCCCACCAAACUACCUACACACACACACACACACACACACACACACAUACACACGCAUGCACAAUUUUUUUCUGAACUAUUUAAAAGUAUGCUGUUCUUUCGCCUCUUUUUUGCAAUGGAGUUUCAUUCUUGUCACCCAGGCGUGCAAUGGUAUGGUCUUGGCUCACUGCAACCUCCGCCUCCCAGGUUCAAGCUAUUCUCUUACCUCAGUCUCCCAAAGUGCUGGGAUUACAGACACCUGCCACCAUGCCUGGCUAAUUUUUGUAUUUUUUGUAGAGACGGGGUUUCACCAUGUUGGCCAGGCUGGUCUUGAACUCCUGACCUCAGGUGAUCCACCCUCCUUGGCUUUUUAAAGUGCUGGGAUUACAGGCCUGAGCCACCGCGCCUGGCCUCCUUUACCUCUAAAUGUGUCAGUACUCCACUGUAUACUUCCUAAAGGCGAGACUAUUUUGUUACAGAAGCAUAAUACCCUUUUCGGAAUCAGGGAACUAACCCUGAUGUCUCGCUGUAAUUGCUGGGUCUCCUUCCUGUUUCACUGCCUGUCCCGGUAAUGUCCUUUACGGCAAAAACAAAAACAAAAAACCAAAAAACACCCCAGCCCAUGUCUUGCAUGUGGUCGGGAUGUCGCUUUGACACUUUUCGUCUGAAACAGUUCUUGAGUCUUGUAUCGUGUGACAUUGGCAUUUUUGAAAAGUAGCUGCCAGGUACUAAAGAUUUGUAAGAUGUCUAAAGAUUCCUUUUUAAAUAAAUUUAAGUUUUAAAGAGGUGAGUCCGCUUAA